UACGAAGGGUGCAAACGUUGCUCGGAAUCAUUGGGCGUAAAGCGCACGGUAGGCGGCUUUGCAAGUCGGACGUGAAAUCCCUCAGCUCAACUGAGGACGUGCAUCCGAAAACUGCAAGGCUUGAGUACUGAAGAGGAUCGCGGAAUUCCCGGGUGUAGAGGUGAAAUUCGUAGAUAUCGGGAGGAACACCAGUGGCGAAGGCGGCGAUCUGGGCAGAUACUGACGCUGAGGUGCGAAAGCGUGGGGAGCAAACAGGG
rnacentral:rRNA from 1 species